GCUCUACUUUUGGAUAUUCAUUACAUGUUUCUAGAAAAAUAAUACAUAUAUAUAAAUAUAAUAAAUUAUAUUUAAUAUGUAUUUUGAUAGUUGAAAAUAUCCAAACUCACCGCCAAUAUUCUCAACUUGCCAACUAUUUGCUAAUACUUCAAUAUUAAUCGGAUGAUUUCCAGUUUUACCUAUCAAAUCAUCUCUAGCAUCGCCAUUCAUUCUUCCGCACAAACCUGCUGUUCUAUUCCACAUAGUUUCAGAUGCGUCUAUCUGUAAUAAUAGUCCUCCAUCCCAUUUCAAUUGGACUCCUAAUGAGUCUAAAUAAACAAUAAUGAAGUGUGCUGACAUAUCAACACGUAAGCCUGGCAAACGAACUGGUAUUGGAAAAGAUUUUUUAAUGUUACGAAAUUCAGGUUGGACUAUUUCGUACAGUUAUCGUUAAAACAGCAUUGCUCAUCUCUUGCAACAUAAUGUGACUGCAAUUAUCUUCAAAACUAAAAAUUUGAUCGUCAAAAGUUUUAUAAUGUGCACCACCCCAAGUAAAACAAGUCUUUGGUUCAGGUCGUUUCGCUUCAAUAAGAACAUAGUUAUUAUUUAAUGACCCAUACAUAUCCUAAAAAAAUAUAUAUAUUGCUUAAUUUGUAAGCUAUUUUUUCUAGCAAAAUAUUAAAAUAUAUUUACCUUUAUCAUUUGGUCACCUCUAGAUAUUGGAAAAUCAAUGGUAUUAUUUUCCACGGUGGAUAUAAAAUUACUAUUAAUGGACCAUGUAUGAUUAGACUCAUAGGCAGUGAAAAUAUCUAUAUUAUUAUCAUCUUUACAUUGAGGAAUUGGCUGUGACAUCCUGUGCUAUAAAAAAAAAAAAACAUACAAUUAAUGUAAAAUAUU